AACGAACGCUGGCGGCAUGCCUAACACAUGCAAGUCGAACGAGACCUUCGGGUCUAGUGGCGCACGGGUGCGUAACGCGUGGGAACCUGCCCUUAGGUUCGGAAUAACUCCCCGAAAGGGGUGCUAAUACCGGAUAAUGUCUUCGGACCAAAGAUUUAUCGCCUUUGGAUGGGCCCGCGUUGGAUUAGCUAGUUGGUAGGGUAAAAGCCUACCAAGGCGACGAUCCAUAGCUGGUCUGAGAGGAUGAUCCGCCACACUGGGACUGAGACACGGCCCAGACUCCUACGGGAGGCAGCAGUGGGGAAUAUUGGACCAUGGGCGAAAGCCUGAUCCAGCAAUGCCGCGUGAGUGAUGAAGGCCUUAGGGUUGUAAAGCUCUUUUACCCGGGAUGAUAAUGACAGUACCGGGAGAAUAAGCUCCGGCUAACUCCGUG
rnacentral:rRNA from 1 species